GACGAACGCUGGCGGCGUGCUUAACACAUGCAAGUCGAGCGGUAAGGCCCUUUCGGGGGUACACGAGCGGCGAACGGGUGAGUAACACGUGGGUGACCUGCCCUUAGCUCUGGGAUAAGCCUGGGAAACUGGGUCUAAUACCGGAUAUGACUCCAUGACGCAUGUUGUGGGGUGGAAAGCCUUGUGCGGCUAGGGAUGGGCCCGCGGCCUAUCAGCUUGUUGGUGGGGUGAUGGCCACCAAGGCGACGACGGGUAGCCGGCCUGAGAGGGCGACCGGCCACACUGGGACUGAGACACGGCCCAGACUCCUACGGGAGGCAGCAGUGGGGAAUCUUGCGCAAUGGGCGAAAGCCUGACGCAGCGACGCCGCGUGGGGAUGACGGCCUCGGUUGUAA
rnacentral:rRNA from 1 species